rnacentral:rRNA from 1 species
UACAGAGGGUGCAAGCGUUGCUCGGAUUUACUGGGCGUAAAGCGUACGCAGACGGUGAGAAAGGUCGGAUGUGAAAGCCCCGGGCUCAACCCGGGAACUGCAUCCGAAACCAUCUCGCUAGAGUAUGGGAGAGGGAAGCGGAAUUCCUGGUGUAGAGGUGAAAUUCGUAGAUAUCAGGAGGAACACCUGCGGCGAAGGCGGCUUCCUGGCCCCAUUACUGACGUUCAGGUACGAAAGCGUGGGUAGCAAACAGG